rnacentral:rRNA from 1 species
AGAGCGAACGCUGGCGGCAGGCCUAACACAUGCAAGUCGAGCGCCCCGCAAGGGGAGCGGCAGACGGGAGAGUAACACGUGGGAACGUACCCUUCAGUUCGGAACAACCCAGGGAAACUUGGGCUAAUACCGGAUACGUCCGUAAGGAGAAAGAUUUAUCGCUGAAGGAUCGGCCCGCGUCUGAUUAGCUUGUUGGUGAGGUAACGGCUCACCAAGGCGACGAUCAGUAGCUGGUCUGAGAGGAUGAUCAGCCUCACUGGGACUGAGACACGGCCCAGACUCCUACGGGAGGCAGCAGUGGGGAAUAUUGGACAAUGGGCGCAAGCCUGAUCCAGCCAUGCCGCGUGGGUGAUGAAGGCCCUAGGGUUGUAAAGCCUUUCGGCGGGGAAGAUAAUGACGGUACCCGCAGAAGAAGCCCCGGCUAACUUCGUGCCAGCAGCCGC